UACAGAGGUCCCAAGCGUUGUUCGGAUUCACUGGGCGUAAAGGGUGCGUAGGCGGUCGGGUAAGUCUGAUGUGAAAUCUCACAGCUUAACUGUGAAACUGCAUUGGAUACUAUCCGGCUAGAGGAAUGGAGGGGAGACUGGAAUACUUGGUGUAGCAGUGAAAUGCGUAGAUAUCAGGAAGAACACCAACGGCGAAGGCAGCUCGCUGGGACGGUACUGACGCUGAGACGCGAAAGCGUGGGGAGCGAACAGG
rnacentral:rRNA from 1 species